UCAGGGUGUGUUAAGGGUUACGAGUUCAGGGUCAGAGGUGGGCUCUGGGUGAGUUAAGGGUUACGAGUUCAGGGUCAGAGGUGGGCUCAGGGUGAGUUAAGGGUUACGAGUUCAGGGUCAGAGGUGGGCUCAGGGUCAGGGAUGGGUUUAAGGUGAGAGUUAAGAGAGAAGAGUUCAGUGCUAGAGAAGGGUGAGAGUUAAGGGAUCUGUGUAGAGUUCUAGAGUUUAGUUUAGGAUGAGAGCUGAGGGUGGGUGCUGUGAGUUCAGGUUUAGGGCAGGGGGUUUAUUGGUUUGAGGUUAAAGUUAGGUUUUGAUAGGAAUAGAAAUUGUUUUACAGGUUAGUGUCAGAGAUUGAGGUAAAAGGGCAGUGUUCAUGUUAGAGGGUAGAGGUCAGAGUUCAGGUUAAGGAUUAGGGUAGACACUGGGUAAGGGUAAAGGGUUAAUCAAUACGGUAACACAAGCUCUAUGAGGCUUUGACCUCAUCAAGCAGCGACCAGCACACUGAGGAAUUGUGGGAAUUGCUGUUCACUGUGACUGUCUGUGCAGCCCCAUGGUGUUGCCACCCUCAGAGAGAGACAGCAGCACAGCCUCUCUGACAUGGUGUUCAGCCACUGCCAGGAGAGGUCCAGCAGUGAAGACGAGGAUUCUGGGAGUUCCACACCCCCACAGCGAGGUGCAGGGAGCAGGAGCAACACCAGUUCUGAGUUAGACACACCUUCUCCUUCGCUGCCCAUCAGAAACGGUGAGUGAGAUGGACUCUCAGGCUCUAUGGCCACUCAGCUGGACAGCCAGGCAGAGAGGCAGGCAGUCAGAAAGAGACAGGGUCAGGUAGAGAGAGACAGGCAGUCAGGAAGAGACACACUCAGACAGAGAGCGACGGGGUCAGUCAGGAAGACAGGCAGUCCGGAAGAGACAGUGUCAGACAGAGAGACAGGUAGUCAGAAAGAGACAGGGUCA